rnacentral:misc_RNA from 1 species
GAUGAAGAACGCAGCGAAAUGCGAUAAGUAAUGUGAAUUGCAGAAUUCAGUGAAUCAUCGAAUCUUUGAACGCACAUUGCGCCCGCCAGUAUUCUGGCGGGCAUGCCUGUUCGAGCGUCAUUUCAACCAUCAAGCCCCCGGGCUUGUGUUGGGGACCUGCGGCUGCCGCAGGCCCUGAAAAGCAGUGGCGGGCUCGCUGUCACACCGAGCGUAGUAGAUUUUAUCACGCUCUGGGCGUGCUGCGGGUUCCGGCCGUUAAACCACCCUUUUAACCCAAGGUUGACCUCGGAUCAGGUAGGAAGACCCGCUGAACUUAAGCAUAUCAAUAAGCGGAGGA